UUAAUUUCUUGUUUUCGUCGUAGGCCUACUGGCCUAUGCCUACUGCUCGAUUUGAUAUUUAGACAAUGUUUGGCAUCGCCAAGGUCUUGAUUUCAGUUUUAUGAUUCAUCUUCAUUUUGAUAUUGAUUGUUAGCAUGAAAAGUAUCUUUCUGCGAUUACAAUUUAAAAAUCCAUUUCACCUCCAGUGCUCUGUGGUCUUUGUUUACAUCUGUUCACACACUAAACAAAGAUAUUUGACUCCUAAUUCAUCUCAGUCUCGACCUCCACGGGGGGAUAUCGGAUUCUGCUGCUUACUUAGAAUGAUGGUAGUCACAGAAGGAUGCAACGCUGUUUCCAAGACAAAUGCCCAAGAUACCCACUUUGUAGAUAAUGUGGGUUAGCAAACAGUGAAAGCAACUCCAGCUAAAUUGCUGUUGCAAAACUGACCUUCCUUGAUGCUGGCCAGCUGCUCGAGACAGUUCUCACGAUCAGAAUGUGAACAGACAGCAUUAGUGCAUGCCAGAUGAUGAUGAUGAAACCUUAUUGUAAUCUCUGCAUCUGUGGCACUUCGCCCCCUGGUGGUGAACAUAAUCAUGUCAGGUAGGGAAAAGAGAAGAUGAGGCUGCAGUGUAACUUUCAAAACAAGGGUCAAAGGUCAAACCCAGAGACUUUUUUUUUUUUUUUUUUUUUUUUUGUAGGCAAGACAAUGUACGUCAAUUUAUCGGGGGGCGAAUCCUAUACGUUAAACGUUUGUGAUGUGAAGAGUGGGUGGGGAAGGAGCAGAGAUGGCUCCCUCUCCUAUUUGAAUGCUCGUGGUGUGUUUCCCAAAUCCUGGAACACCUUCCGGGACUCUGCUUUUUCCAAAUUCUGUCAUUCUGUCUUUGUUUCCCUACUUGGCUUCCUCUGCUUGGCAUCCCAAUGUAGCAAUGAAAGGAAGGACGAGAGGAGACGAUGAAAGGAGAACAGAAGGAUCUCCAAACUAACUGUCAGUGAAAUCAGGAGAGGACUGCAUGAGGAAACGAAUGCAUUCUCACUGAUUUAAAAACCCGAGAGAAGAGGCUCGAUGUGUGAUAAUUACUGAAGCGGGUUCUGUGAGUGGAGGGAGCCCUGCUGUUUAAUAGGGAAUCUGUUCACAGCAACACAAGAUGGCCGAGUUAAGACAGAGCCUAUUUUACAGUGUCAAUAAAUAAGACUCUGUUUACCGUGGUGAACCUGGACAAUGAUUGUGAUUAAGCUCAUGUUGGAAUUUCACUUGACUUUCAGACCUGUAAUGGUUCCCUGCAUUAAAAUGUAUUAAUCUGUCCCGCUAACACUUCCGAGCAAACCAAUUCCCCCCGCGCGCCAAUUGACCUGAAGUGAAGAGGGCUUCAGCUCCUCGGUAAUGAAGGUUGCGAUUAGCGGCACGUCAUUAAAAGCGCGCCGUUUCGGCGAAACUGAAGCCGCCACGUGGUCUUGGAUCAGCUGGCCUGAGAGAAAAAAAGAUGCUAACUUGACAGCGCGCACCAACAGCGCGGUUGAUUCGCACUGGAAUGUUGAGCGCAACCGAACCAGGAACAGAAUGCUUCGACCGUCUUCGCGGCUAGGCUCAUCUUCUUAGCUCACUCUCUGCUAAUCGGGCCCUAAGUCCCCGACAGUAAUCUUGGCCCUCUUUCCCUCUGCCUAUCCUAUUAGAGUAAAAAAUAUGAAGUACAAACCCUGACUUACCUCUUUCAUCCGUUUCCUUGAUUCUACUGUGCGGCGUGUCGUUCAGGUCUUACCACCCUGACCUGAAUUCACGAUACACUGAGACAAACUGUCUGCCUUGUUGAAAGAUAAUCCUCCUGAUUGUUACCUGAUGUGGGCUAGUAAUUUAUUGAAAUGUGGUUAUAAAUGAUGAACAUUCAAUACAUUUUUUUGUAACCUUUAAAUAUGUUUAAAUAUGUUUUGAAGCAAUAAUGGUAAAUAUUUAACAUAAUUAAAAUAUAAAUAAUUCUGUAAA